rnacentral:rRNA from 1 species
AGAGUUUGAUCCUGGCUCAGGACGAACGCUGGCGGCGUGCUUAACACAUGCAAGUCGGACGAGGGAAAGAGGGAGGCUUGCCUCAAUCUUUCCCGAGUGGCAAACGGGUGAGUAACACGUAAACAACCUGCCCUCCUGACGGGGACAACAGACGGAAACGACUGCUAAUACCGGAUACGGUCCUUUAGCCGCAUGGCUUUGGGAAGAAAGGAUGGCCUCCAUUUAUGAGCUAUCGCGGGAGGAGGGGUUUGCGACUGAUUAGAUAGUUGGUGAGGUAACGGCCCACCAAGUCGACGAUCGGUAGCCGGACUGAGAGGUUGGCCGGCCACAUUGGAACUGAGAGACGGUCCAAACUCCUACGGGAGGCAGCAGUGGGGAAUAUUGGGCAAUGGGCGAAAGCCUGACCCAGCAACGCCGCGUGAGUGAAGAAGGCCUUCGGGUUGUAAAGCUCUGUUAUGCGAGAAGAAGGACGUGACGGUAUCGCAUAAGGAAGCCCCGGCUAACUACGUGCCAGCAGCCGCGGUAAUACGUAGGGGGCGAGCGUUGUCCGGAAUGACUGGGCGUAAAGGGCGUGUAGGCGGCCGAUUAAGUCUGGAGUGAAAGUCCUGCAUUCAAUGUGGGAAUUGCUUUGGAGACUGGUUGGCUUGAGUGCGGAAGAGGUAAGUGGAAUUCCCAGUGUAGCGGUGAAAUGCGUAGAGAUUGGGAGGAACACCAGUGGCGAAGGCGACUUACUGGGCCGUAACUGACGCUGAGGCGCGAAAGCGUGGGGAGCGAACAGGAUUAGAUACCCUGGUAGUCCACGCGGUAAACGAUGAAUGAUAGGUGUUGCGGGUAUCGACCCCUGCAGUG